UACAGAGGGUGCGAGCGUUAAUCGGAAUUACUGGGCGUAAAGCGCGCGUAGGCGGCUUUGCAAGUCGGGUGUGAAAUCCCCAGGCUUAACCUGGGAACUGCAUUCGAGACUGCAUUGCUAGAGUAUGGGAGAGGGGAAGUGGAAUUUCCGGUGUAGCGGUGAAAUGCGUAGAUAUCGGAAGGAACAUCAGUGGCGAAGGCGACUACCUGGCCCUGUUUCUUGACGCUGAGGCGCGAAAGCUAGGGGAGCAAACGGG
rnacentral:rRNA from 1 species